rnacentral:snRNA from 1 species
UGUUGGUUAACCAUUCGGUUAUG